CUCAUAGCGUAUAUUAAGUUGUUGCAGUUAAAACGCUCGUAGUCGGAUUUCGGGGCGGGCUGCUCGGUCUGCCGAUGGGUAUGCACUGGGUGGCGCGUCCUUCCUUCCGGAGACCGCGCCUUCUCUUAACUGAGCGGGCGCGGGAGACGGAACGUUUACUUUGAAAAAAUCAGAGUGUUUCAAGCAGGCAUCUCGCUCUUGCAUGGAUUAGCAUGGGAUAAUGAAAUAGGACUUUGGUGCUAUUUUGUUGGUUUCGAACACCGAAGUAAUGAUUAACAGGGACAGUCAGGGGCACUCGUAUUCCGUCGAGAGAGGUGAAAUUCUCAGACCAACGGAAGACGAACCACUGCGAAAGCAUUUGCCAGGGAUGUUUUCACUGAUCAAGAACGAAAGUUAGGGGAUCGAAGACGAUCAGAUACCGUCGUAGUCUUAACCAUAAACCAUGCCGACUAGGGAUUCGAGGGUGUUCCAUCUGUGACCCCUUGAGCACCUUUCGGGAAACUAAAGUCUUUGGGUUCCGGGGGGAGUAUGGUCGCAAGGCUGAAACUUAAAGGAAUUGACGGAAGGGCACCACCAGGAGUGGAGCCUGCGGCUUAAUUUGACUCAACACGGGGAAACUUACCAAGUCCAGACAUUGUGAGGAUUGACAGAUUGAGAGCUCUUUCUUGAUUCAAUGGGUGGUGGUGCAUGGCCGUUCUUAGUUGGUGGAGUGAUUUGUCUGGU
rnacentral:rRNA from 1 species